rnacentral:rRNA from 1 species
UACGUAGGGGGCAAGCGUUGUCCGGAAUCAUUGGGCGUAAAGCGCGUGUAGGCGGCUCGAUAAGUCCGCUCUGAAAGCCCGGGGCUCAACCCUGGGAGGCGGGUGGAUACUGUCGAGCUCGAGUCCGGAAGAGGAGUGUGGAAUUCCUGGUGUAGCGGUGAAAUGCGCAGAUAUCAGGAAGAACACCCGUGGCUAAGGCGGCUCUCUAGUACGGUACUGACGCUGAGACGCGAAAGCGUGGGGAGCAAACAGG